UACGGAGGGUGCGAGCGUUGUCCGGAAUCACUGGGCGUAAAGGGCGCGUAGGUGGCCUGUGGAAGUCUGCGGUGAAAGCCCGGCGCUCAACGCCGGGUCGGCCGUGGAUACUCUCGGGCUCGAGCUUACUAGAGGCAGAUGGAAUUCCGGGUGUAGCGGUGGAAUGCGUAGAGAUCCGCAAGAACACCAGUGGCGAAGGCGGCUCACUGGCCCGGUACUGACGCUGAGGUGCGAAAGCGUGGGGAGCAAACAGG
rnacentral:rRNA from 1 species